GAUGAACGCUAGCGGGAGGCUUAACACAUGCAAGUCGUGGGGCAGCAUAAGGUAGCAAUACUUUGAUGGCGACCGGCGCACGGGUGAGUAACACGUAUGCAACCUGCCCUGUACAGGGGGAUAGCCCGGAGAAAUUCGGAUUAAUACCCCAUAAUGAUAUUUAGAGGCAUCUUUAGAUAUUUAAAGUUUCGGCGGUACAGGAUGGGCAUGCGCAACAUUAGCUGGUUGGUAGGGUAACGGCCUACCAAGGCGACGAUGUUUAGGGGACCUGAGAGGGUGAUCCCCCACACUGGUACUGAGACACGGACCAGACUCCUACGGGAGGCUG
rnacentral:rRNA from 1 species